AUCGACCCCUCCCCCGUCGCCCAUCUCCUUGCCGCCGCCCCCUUCCCGAUCUAGAUACCUUCUCCGCCGCCCCUCCCUUCCACCACCCAGUCGCCCCCUCAACAGAUCAAGCGAGCCUCCCAACCUCACUGGCCUCCUCUGUCUCUUCCGAUCAGAUCUGACGGGCACAACUUCCUGCAGCCACGAGCGACCACCCCGGCCUCCACUCCACCGCCGGCAUCCUUUCCCCUCCCUCUCCAUAGAUCCUUUUGAGCAGCCACCUCUAGGGCGGCACCGCCACCAGCGGGAGGGGGAGGGCACUGCCACCAGCCGCAGUGGAGAGGUGGAGCCCCGGCACCCCCGAUGGCUUCGCCGUCCCCAGGAGCCACUUCACCCCGCGCCUGAGCGCCAGCUGCUGCUCCUACCGCGUCACCACGCCGGUGAGCAGCGGCGGAUGCUCCCGGCCGCCGAGGGCGCCGCCGUUGGCGGAUUCAUCGUACGUGAGGGCGAAGCAGACGUAGGUAACACGACCGACCACCACCGCUACCAUCAGGCGCGAUCCCUUGCCCUUCAGGUUCCGAAACCUGCCCGCCAGCUCUUGCUUAUCUGCUGUGGAUGGAUGGAUGGAUGGAUGGAUGGAUGCAUGUUCAUGUGGGACGAGGGCAAGUACCCCGUCAACGCCCCGCUCAAGGAGACCGUCGCCAGCAUCCAGUCCCAGGUCGCCAAGAUCGAGGACGACAUGAAGAAGGACUGAAUAUGCCCUUUUCCAGCUUAGAGUUGCUGAAUACGGUAAUGUUAAGAGCCAUCUUGGCGCAAUCAAUAGGAAGCAAACUGGAAGCUGCCGACCUCUUCCUAUGGUCCGAGUCGGCGCCUGGAGCUGGCGAACACGGCGAUACUGCCAAAGGAGGAGGUGCAGGAGCUGGCCAACGACGAAUGGCUCAUGGGACAAUGGCGACACUGUCCAGCGCCAACACCGUCACCAUCGUCAGCCGUGUGUCCCGGCCGGCCAGGAGGUAGCCGGCACCCUGGAGGCCCCGAAGCCACUUCAUGGAGUACGGGUUCGCGCUGGACGGAGACGGGAGCGUCAUCGAUGAGAUGUACUGGUGGUGCCUAUGCUGUCUACGAGAUCCUACACCCGAGAGGAUGUGGUGGAGCUCCAGUGUAGAGCUACUCAUUUGAUUCAUUUGAAAAGAUGAGUAAUUCUUUUUCAUUAACAGAAACUUCUCAUCUCUUUUCUUCUAUUUUCCUCUCUUCUCUUCUCAUUGUUGCUGUUAAGUUAGGACUCGCUGCUUAUGAUUACUAUUGUUAGAAAUCAUGAUUGCUUAUUUUAGUGUAGGACUUGCUGCUAUUGCUGUCAUAUUCAUACUGUAUUUACCAAAGUUUGAUAGCAUGUCGUCCUUAGGAUAAUUUGUUUAUAAAAAAUGGACUAAAUUAAAGCAUUCCCAGGACUUGAUGCUGUUGUUAUUGACCUGCUGCUGUUGCAAACUGUUGUUGUCAUUAACUUGGUGUUACCGAGCUUUAACCUUUGUUUAAGCUUUCUUGUUCUUGCAAUUACUAGUUGUGAUAAUUGUAUGGUGAUAAGAAUGCCUCUGUAGGACAAUAUAUUUUGCUGUUUCCACCGCGCCAUCACAUGAAACUUGGUGCUGCUGCUUCCUGGCUGGCUGUAGCUUUGCAUGAAGCAACAAGAGAUGGCUUCACUUUGCUGGCCUAUUUUUUGCCCCCUCCGACUGAGAUGCCAAAGCAUAGAGGGAGCUUGAUAAAGCUUGGACGUUGGUCAGGGCUCCAACGGUGCUGAUGCUAUUGGGUUGGUUGUGGCCUCAUGCAUGGUAGUAGGCUUGGCUGGCCCAUGAUAUAGAGUGCUAUAUUGUUGAUAGUUUUACCUGUAGAGUGCCAUAUUGUGAUUGGUGGAAUAAUGUAUGGUGUAUAUUGUGAUUGUGUGGAAUAUUGUAAUAAACUGAGUUUGGCUAUUAUUUGAAUCGGUGUGUUGACUACAAGAUGUGAAAAAUUAAAACUUG